rnacentral:rRNA from 1 species
GAUGAACGCUGGCGGCGUGCCUAAUACAUGCAAGUCGAGCGAACGGACGAGAAGCUUGCUUUUCUGAUGUUAGCGGCGGACGGGUGAGUAACACGUGGAUAACCUACCUAUAAGACUGGGAUAACUUCGGGAAACCGGAGCUAAUACCGGAUAAUAUUUUGAACCGCAUGGUUCAAAAGUGAAAGACGGUCUUGCUGUCACUUAUAGAUGGAUCCGCGCUGCAUUAGCUAGUUGGUAAGGUAACGGCUUACCAAGGCAACGAUGCAUAGCCGACCUGAGAGCGUGAUCGGCCACACUGGAACUGAGACACGGUCCAGACUCCUACGGGAGGCAGCAGUAGGGAAUCUUCCGCAAUGGGCGAAAGCCUGACGGAGCAACGCCGCGUGAGAGAUGAAAGUCUUCGGAUCGUAAAACUCUGUUAUUAGGGAAGAACAUAUGUGCAAGUAACUGUGCACAUCUUGACGGUACCUAAUCAGAAAGCCACGGCUAACUACGUG